GACGAACGCUGGCGGCGUGCUUAACACAUGCAAGUCGAACGGAAAGGCCCUGCUUUUGUGGGGUGCUCGAGUGGCGAACGGGUGAGUAACACGUGAGUAACCUGCCCUUGACUUUGGGAUAACUUCAGGAAACUGGGGCUAAUACCGGAUAGGAGCUCCUGCUGCAUGGUGGGGGUUGGAAAGUUUCGGCGGUUGGGGAUGGACUCGAGGCUUAUCAGCUUGUUGGUGGGGUAGUGGCUUACCAAGGCUUUGACGGGUAGCCGGCCUGAGAGGGUGACCGGCCACAUUGGGACUGAGGUACGGCCCAGACGCCUACGGGAGGCAGCAGUGGGAAAUAUUGCACAAUGGGCGGAAGCCUGAUGCAGCAACGCCGCGUGCGGGAUGACGGCCUUCGGGGUGUAAACCGCUUUCGCCUGUAACGAAGCGUGAGUGACGGUAAUGGGUAAAGAAGCACCGGCUAACUACGUG
rnacentral:rRNA from 1 species